GACGAACGCUGGCGGCGUGCUUAACACAUGCAAGUCGAACGGAAAGGCCCUUUUUUGGGUGCUCGCGUGGCUAACGAGUGAGUAACACGUGAGUAACCUUCCCUUCACUUCCUGAUAGCUUCAGUCAACUGAGGCUAAUACCGGCUAGAAAUCCUUUCUUCAUGGUGGGUGUUGGAAAGCUUCGGCGGUUUUGGAUGGACUCGCGGCCUAUCAGCCUGUUGGUUGGGUAGUGGGUUACCAAGGCUUUGUCGGGGAGCCGGCCUGGGAGGGCGACCGGCCACAUUGGGACUGGGGAAAGGCCCAGACUCCUAAGGGAAGCAACAGGGGGGGAUAGUGCACGAUGGGGGGAAGCCUGAUGGAGCAACGCCGCGUGGGGGAUGACGGCCUUCGGGUUGUAAACCGCUUUCAGCAGGGGCGAAGCCUGGAGUGACGGUACCUGCAGAAGAAGCACCGGCUAACUACGUG
rnacentral:rRNA from 1 species